rnacentral:rRNA from 1 species
GAUGAACGCUGGCGGCGUGCCUAAUACAUGCAAGUCGAGCGAACAGAUGAGGAGCUUGCUCCUCUGACGUUAGCGGCGGACGGGUGAGUAACACGUGGAUAACCUACCUAUAAGACUGGGAUAACUUCGGGAAACCGGAGCUAAUACCGGAUAAUAUAUUGAACCGCAUGGUUCAAUAGUGAAAGACGGUUUUGCUGUCACUUAUAGAUGGAUCCGCGCCGCAUUAGCUAGUUGGUAAGGUAACGGCUUACCAAGGCAACGAUGCGUAGCCGACCUGAGAGGGUGAUCGGCCACACUGGAACUGAGACACGGUCCAGACUCCUACGGGAGGCAGCAGUAGGGAAUCUUCCGCAAUGGGCGAAAGCCUGACGGAGCAACGCCGCGUGAGUGAUGAAGGUCUUCGGAUCGUAAAACUCUGUGAUUAGGGAAGAACAAAUGUGUAAGUAACUAUGCACGUCUUGACGGUACCUAAUCAGAAAGCCACGGCUAACUACGUG